rnacentral:misc_RNA from 1 species
CGUCUGUCUUGCAAAAAAAAUCUUUCAAUGGCUGAUAGAGGCGUAGUGAAACUGAUCACCCUAGGUGGCAAGGGCUCGUCUCUUUCAUCCUCCUCCGUCUACGCCGUCGCCACCGGCCAAGCUCAGUUACGUAAUGACUCAUCGGCGCUCGAUAGACUACUCUCCGAUCAAAACCCUGCGUCGCCUCUCAAACCAUUCCAAAUCCACUUUCCCAAAACUUUUACCCCAAUUGAAAUUCGUGCCUCUCUCACUUUUCUCCUCAAUAAGGUCCUCCUCUCCUCCAAUUCAUCCAACAUCCGUACCCUUCUUCCUAAUCUCAUUUC